CCUACGGGAGGGCAGCAGUGGGGAAUCUUGCACAAUGGGGGCAACCCUGAUGCAGCGACGCCGCGUGAGCGAUGAAGCCCUUCGGGGUGUAAAGCUCUUUCGGCCCGAACGAUAAUGACGGUACGGGAAGAAGAAGCUGCGGCUAACUACGUGCCAGCAGCCGCGGUAAUACGUAGGCAGCGAGCGUUGUUCGGAGUUACUGGGCGUAAAGCGUGCGUAGGCGGUUUUGUAAGUUUGGUGUGAAAUCUCCCGGCUCAACUGGGAGGGUGCGCCGAAAACUGCAAGGCUGGAGUGUGGGAGAGGUAGGCGGAAUUCCUGGUGUAGCGGUGAAAUGCGUAGAUAUCAGGAGGAACACCUGUGGUGUAGACGGCUUACUGGACCAUGACUGACGCUGAGGCACGAAAGCGUGGGGAGCAAACAGGAUUAGAUACCCUGGUAGUCCACGCCCUAAACGAUGCAUACUUGGUGUGGGCAGUUCAUUCUGUCUGUGCCGGAGCUAACGCGUUAAGUAUGCCGCCUGGGGAGUACGGUCGCAAGGCUGAAACUCAAA
rnacentral:rRNA from 1 species